AGAAUUCUGCCUAUAAAGAAUCUGCCAGCCUGACCCUUAACUGUUUUGCUGUUUUCUCACCACUAGGAUUUUAAUGAAAAUCAACAUGACUGCCUCCCUUAAGAGCUGGUUUUGGAAAGGUCUCUGCAGAGGACACUGAGGAAACUCUUCGUUCAUUAAGAGCUCGAGAUUUCAGCACUAGAGCAAUAGAGAAUGGUCAUUUCCUGCAAUCCCUGAGUCCAUGCUGGACAGGUGAAUGGAGGAGCCAGGAAAAAGGAACCAUCGCUGACAAUAAACAAGGUGCACAGUCGAAGAGAAUCAUUUGGAGCUACCAGUCAUCAUGUCACAGAUUAUGUAUUAGUUGUGCAAAUGAAGUCCAAUGAGGUGUGCAACAGCAGUCACCUGGAAAGCACUUUACUAGAAAAUCCAGGUGUAUUUUUAAGUAAGAGUCUGGGCUUUUGCUGUUCUUACUCUCCCAUGCACAUUGCCAGCCAUGGCCUACCAGGAUCUUUUCCCCCAAAACACGGUAUGCAACUUAAGGAGGCACUGCGUCCGUUUCCCUCACUACCCGGAGCUGACAUUUCAAAAAGUACUUCUCAUCAUGCUUCUGCAGAAGGUCUGAAAAAGCCAUAACAAAAUUAUCAGAUUGUUAGCGUGGAUGAUGGGAAUGGGUCAUUUCUUUUCCCUUUUCAAAAACAGAGCAAGAAACCGACUGUGUUUGUGUGUCAAUCAAGCAGAACUGAGUCUGAAGUUUGCAUCUUCACAGGAUAUGACAGGUCACUCCACAGUCACAAAUGCUUUAGAAUUCAUUGCAAAACACAAGCAAUGGCUGGUGUGAUCCAGGCCUCGUUUGAUGGCAAAAGUCACGCAAAGGCAAAUUCAGGCCCCUUUGUCUUCAUGUUCCACGGGGAGUUGGCAGCCCACAUGGGUUUUUCAGGGCACUGGAUGGCCCUACCCCAUAGGGCCACUCUUCCUGUCUGUGACCCAUCUAGUCCCAUCAAUGUUAUGAUUAUGGCACAAUUCGUAUUUGGAGCCUUAGAAUUUAUUUCCUCCUCAGUGAAAGUCAGCUUAUUAGACCCUUUCCUGAGGAGCAGGAAGCAGAGAACAUUGGGCAGGAAGAAUAGGGAGCAAAAUCUUUAGGAAACAGGGUCCUGAGAUCAGAGACAAACUUUGACACCUGACAUUUUUGCAUAAGCUCUGCCCUGGCACAAAUCUGCCAUGUUGAGGUUAGCCAAUGUGAGUUAAGUAAGGACAUACCGGGCAAGAAUCACUCGCCCUUUUGUUAUUUCUGAAACUUGAACUGCUUUUAGAAAUAAGGGCUGGAAUGUUCCAUAGGAACUCAGAGCAUGGGACACAGGGGCAUGGCACACACUCGGUGUGGGCUAUUUAAAAACCAGUUCCUUGGCUUCCCUCUGUGAUUCUAAAUACGUGGAAUCACAUUACCCCGCAGCAGCCGGUAACUAUUCCUAUAACACUGUCCGGCAUCUGUGCCUGUGAGGCUGGUCCUCCAGCAAAAACAAAGUAGGGGCGUUCUGACUGAUGGGGUUGCUCUAUCCAGGUUUUCUGUGUCACAGCUAAUGUCUAUUUAGUGUUGGAAUAUUAGUAUGUGUUGACCGACCCUUCUUCAGUUUUAAGGACUGAUCUAUUUAACUAUCCUGGGGGAAGGAGGUGCCUCAGCUCAUCAAAAGGAUGCUUUUUAAAUGAGCCAUUUAUUUAUUUAACAAGUGGACAACAGAAGCACAAUGUAUCGCGUUUUCAGAUACAACCAAUUCUUAGGCUAUAGAAGGAUUCCAACACUGGAGACUUUGCCUCUUCAUGUGCUCUUUGCCUGACUCUUUUUUGGGUCUGUUUGAUGUGUAAACACUUCCUCUAAUCACACCACUAGCCAUCAAUCAGGUAAAUCCCUUAAGAAUAUUCUACUCAAUUGUGUAUCACUCAAAGACAUUAGCUGGUAGAAAGACAUUAGCCAACAUUGUUACAUAAUGUCAUAACACCUGAUCGGGGUUGUGAAUCAAUGACAUAGACAAACCAGUUUUGGGAUUUCAUAUAGAUAAAGCAAUAUAUUAACAGAUGUAACCGAGUUUUUUUUUUUUAGCUUUAUAGCUUUAUGUAAAAAAUUAAACCUCCACCUUUUGUAAAAUGUGUAAACAAUUUUUCAUACCUGAUGCCAAGCAUUUUAUCUACUUAAAUCUUGAUUAUCUCUGGUAACACUCCUUCAAUGCAUUAUCACCUCCAUUUUACAGAUGAGGAGACUGAGGCUCAGAGAGAUUUAGUCAUUUGCACAAGAUUCCAUGUCUAGUUUCUAAUGAAUAGUGGGGUUAGAUUUAUACAGUUCUCUCCAAUUUCAAAUCAUGCUGUUUGUCUCUCUAUAUAUAACUUAAAACAGCCAAGAUGGCCAAUGAAGGCAAGAAAACAAAAAACAAGCAAGCAAAAAACUUGGGUCCUGAAUCAUGCAGUUCAGAUAGCCAAAACUCAGUUGAUUGACAAUUGGCUAAAUUUCCUCCUGGACCCAUGUCACUACAACUCUAAUCUGUUGCCUGAUACCUGAGUACCAGGGGACCUCUUGACCCUCACGUGGUCCUGCUCUAAGGACUAGCACUCCAAUGGCCCCAACAUUACACGUCCGAACAAAUUACACAUGUGAUAUUGUGCCUGUGGAGAAAUCUGAUUUCUUAGUCGAAUAUUGUUUUUUGACUGUUUCGAGACAUAGACUGAAUAUGUGGUUCCCUCGUGGCUAACUCAAAACAUACAGCAAAGACUAAUCCUUUGCACUAUCCUAUAUUAAUAUUUUCCUUCCCUCCUUGUAAGUUAUAAAUUACAGGAGAUUAGAAAACAAUCUCACGAGAGCUAAUAUAUUAAGGAGUUACCUCGAAGGAACCCGGAUUUGUUUUUCCCCACAUGGUAAAUCAUACAGGGUAGCAGCCAGCCCCAGAUCCCUGGGAGACAACAUCUUGAGCGCAUAUGUUACGCAGGGUUCUGUAUGGACUAAUUCAAAAACUCCAGGGCGAAAUAAGCAAAGUUCCCAAGUCAAAAAUGAAAGUGAAAUAGUGGCAUGGAAUUGGGAUCAUUGUUGCAAACAUUCCAACAACUUCAUAAAUAGCCAUGAAAGUAGACAGCAUUACAGGUUAGCAAAUGUACCCUUGCAAGAAACAACCUGCACUGCCCAUGUCAAGUCGCAAACAAACCCAGCUACCUCUUACUUUACUGAUAUUCUUUUUCUUUCCAGAAACACAGUCACAUUUGACAAAAUUAAUAUUGAGAUCGCUUUACUAGAGGGCUUAUCCAAAUAUAUGCUAUAUUAAAAAUAGUCAUGAUAUAAAUAUUUCUCACAAGAGCUGCAGCGAUGGUGUGAAUAAAAAACUCCCUUCUGAGAUUUCAGUAAAACCAGAUCUCACAAAGGAUCUGAAAGAAAACAAACAAAAAACAAACAGACAGACAGACACAAAGAGACACACACACACACACACAGAACAAACCUUAUGUUAAUCCGGUUUAGCAAAACAGUCACUAUUUUGACACUAUUUUAUGAAGUACGAUACUGUUCCUUCCCAGAUGAAGUAGGAGAGAUGAAUCGGCUACAGGUUUCCCACAAUAAUGUUCAGGGGUUGGGGGGGUCUCUAAGCAGGUUCCAUAGCAGCUAAUAAAAAUCAAAAUUUCUAAAUGCAGCAAAAUGUUAGCAUUGUCAAAUGGCCAAGCACGCAAGAGGAAUUUCUCUCUCCAUGCCCUCCUACCGAUACAUACAAAAAGCCCCAAAUACAUCGGCUGGAAUUUUUAAAUCGUAAAUUAGAUAUCAAAAUGCUUACGGGCCUUACAA